CAAAUUUCUAUUCCAAAAAUAAAUUUGGAGUAAAAAUCAUAAGGUAAAAUUUUUAACUUUUCUAUUUCUGACAUAGAAAUAGAAAUGAUUUCUUCUUCUCUUCAAUAAAGAGAAUUUGGGCAUCCUCCCUCUACAGAUUUCGGGCUUUUCUAUUUGGGCGUCCAUCCCCCUUAACAAAGCCACGCUUCAACCAAAAACCCUACCACUGUCGACUCUGAAUCCAUCCAUCCUCGCCCUCAACUCCAAAUCCAUCCUUCUUGCCAUUGUUGACUCCAAUGCCAUCGGCGUCCUCUUGCCGAUCAAAUCGUCAUUCAUCUCACCGUCAACUGCAACUCUAUCCUCCUUACUACCGUCGACUCUGACUCCGUCCUCUUGUCGGUCACAUCGUCGCUCACCUCACCAUCGACUCUGACUCCAUCCUCCUUGCCGUUGAUGGCUUCGACUCCAGCUCCAUCCUCUCGCCAGCAUCCACUCCAUCCGCUCACAAGCAUUCACUCCGUCCGCUCACUGCCGUCGACUCCAACUCCAUCCUCAACCCUAGACCCUCAUUGAUUGCAUGAGCAUAUCUUCUUGACGCCUCUAGGUAAUUGUGAUUGACUAGUUUUCCACGUAAUCAAUGGCUUUCUCACUCAUGCUUUAUCUCCGACUCCGUCCUCAACCCUAAGAGUUUCCAUGGUCAUUUGAAUAGGGCAUGAUUUUGGGCCUUUUUGCCUCUUCUUCUCGCGCGUCUAGGUUAAUAUGAUUGACAGGCACCGUCCGGCGACUUGCAACGAAUGGCGUCUUAUUCAUGGUUUCUUACUCCCAAUUCCCACAUCUCUAUGAGAUUUCUUUUCUACUAAGUCCAAAUAUCUUGUAGUUUCGCCUGCCUUUGCUUUGUGCUUUGAUAUAUUGCUAUGGAUGUCCUUUAUGUUCAUGGUUGUGAGCAUAAGUCUUGAAUAUAUGGGUGGAGUUCCAAUGAAGUGAAGCAUAAUGUUCGUGGCUGGAGUGUUGAUGUUCUUGAAUUAGUAAGCAAUCCUUUGGGUUUUUUAGGCAUGCUUAAAGAAGAAGACGUUGAAAGGUUUAGAGAAAUAGAGCAUAAGAGUCAUGAGUUUAUUUUGGGCAGAUUUGGACUUAGUUUUAUUAUAGCAAAAGAGGUGUGAGUUUCUUUUCUUGUUUUUGGUGAGUAGUGUUCAUCUUUGUUUUGUCUCUUUAAGGUAUGUGCAAUUGCCAAAGAACACAUUAGGAAAUACAAAUCUUUAUCACAGAAUACUUUAUUUCCUUCCUUUGUAGGCAGGGGAGAAAUAAGUCAGCUGUUGAAAGAUUUCGCCUUGGUCUGAUUGAAUUGUUUGCAACAUUGCGGCAUGUGAUUUUCUUUUUAUCCGAAUCAUACUGUGUGAUCGGGAGCUAGCUGAUGGAUUGAAUUUACUAAUAUGUCCAUUGCUUAGCUUGAGGAUGUUAUGCGAAACUUGGGUUUGAUGCCCUUGAGAAAUUAAUUGUUUUUUGUUCUGGUAUGGAGGUUUUUGAGAGUUUUUUUUUUUUUUUCCAAUAUGAGAUGUAAUAGUUCCUUUUCAAAAGUACACAAGUGUUGAGAACAAUUUAUUUUGAUAUACUUCAUGGAACAAUUGUUUUGAUACCUCUCCUUUCUUGAAUUUAUUCUCUAAAAUGCUUAUCACGAUUUGUUAACGAUUAGUGAGGAGCCGUGCUAGCUUUGAACUGCUGAAGUUUUGUGUGUAUAGCAAGGAAAGGUAGAUGAAUAUGGUGGAUACUUUGAUGGCUAACUAUUCUGGCAGCCCCUUUUAGUUAGGCCUCUGCACUAUCAAUUUGAUACUUUGCUCAUCUAGCGAGCCAUUUAACGUAAUUUGACAAUUAUACUAACAAACAAUAGUUGGGAUUGAUUUGUUAAAAGCAACUAUAGGGCUUGUACAUUAAUUUUUCAUCCAAAGCUUCGAACCAUAUUUUUUCUCUAAAAAACCCGAAGAAUGGACCUGACCCAACUCAUCUGGGUUUCAUUUUAGGGCUUAUGUAUUUCGGGUCGGAUCAGG
rnacentral:lncRNA from 1 species